UUUGCUCGUAUCUAUCUAACCAGUUUCCGGUUUUUUCAGAUUGUGAUAAAUACGAAUACAUUCUGAUAUAACGACUUACGGAUUUGAUUUUAAAGUCAUUCAUAAUUUUGCCCGUUAAAAGACAAAGUAAUGGUUAAGGAUGAUUCGCCAACCUACACAGCCGGCAGGAGCACUUCAACCUCCUGGUGUUGUUCCAUCACAGCCAACGCAGCCCACGAUUGUCUACGUAAGUGUACCUAGCCCUCACGACCCGGAUAGUAUUAUGAUGAUAUGUCCUUACUGCCACAGUAGCAUUAGCACUAGAGUAAUAUCGCAGCCAACAGCUGCAACCCACUUGUUCGCAUUACUGUUAUGUGUUUUAGGAUUUUGGUGCUGUGUAUGUAUUCCAUAUUGUAUGGAAUCAUGUCAAAGACAUUAUCAUUAUUGUCCAAAUUGCAAUGCUUUCUUGGGAGUAUAUGGCAACGAUCGAAUUUUUUAAUAAUAAUAUUUUCCUGUAUUUUCUCUUGGAUUUUUCAAAUAAGAAAAUGUGGUUGCUUAGUUGUAGUAUUAUAGGAUAAAGGCUCUUAAUGGAAACUGCAAGUUCUUCGAAUGUGAUGCAUUGUGGUUAC